GCCGCCUUAGCUCAGUCGGUAGAGCAGCUGAUUCGUAACCAGCAGGUCGGCAGUUCAAGUCUGCCAGGCGGCU
rnacentral:tRNA from 1 species